GCCCAGGCAGGGAAGCGGGAGGAGGACUUGCAGAGCAGCAGCGAGGAUUCAGACAGUGAGGAGGAGGCGGCGCCUGCUCAGGCGAAGCCUUCAGGGAAGGCCUCCCAGGUCAGAGCCACCUCGGCCCUUGCCAAGGAGUCCCCCAGGAAAGGGGCUGCCCCAGCACCUCCUAGGAAAACAGGGCCUGCAGCCGCCCAGGUCCAGGCGGGGAAGCAGGAGGAGGACUCAGGAAGCAGCAGCGAGGAGUCAGACAGUGACAGAGAGGCACCGGCAGCCAUGAACGCAGCUCAGGUGAAGCCCUUGGGGAAAAGCCCCCAGGUGAAAUCUGCCUCCACCAUGGGCAUGGGGCCCUUGGGGAAAGGCACCGCCCCAGUGCCACCUGGGAAGGUGGGGCCUACAACCCCCUCAGCCCAGGUGGGGAAGUGGGAGGAGGAAUCAGAGAGCAGCAGUGAGGAGUCAUCAGACAGCAGUGAUGGAGAGGUGCCCACAGCUGUGGCCCCGGCUCAGGAAAAGUCCUUGGGGAAAAUCCUCCAGGCCAAACCCGCCUCCAGUCCUGCCAAGGGGCCCCCUCAGAAGGCAGGGCCUGUAGCCAUCCAGGUCAAGGCUGAAAAGCCCAUGGAAGACUCGGAGAGCAGCGAGGAGUCGUCGGACAGUGCGGACAGUGAGGAGGCACCAGCAGCCAUGACUGCAGCUCAGGCAAAACCAGCUCUGAAAAUUCCUCAGACCAAGGCCUGCCCAAAGAAAACCAAUACCACUGCAUCUGCCAAGGUUGCCCCUGUGCGAGUGGGCACGCAAGCCCCCCGGAAAGCAGGAACUGUGACUUCUCCAGCAGGCUCAUCCCCAGCUGUGGCUGGGGGCACCCAGAGACCAGCAGAGGAUUCUUCAAGCAGUGAGGAAUCAGAUAGUGAGGAAGAGAAGACAGGUCUUGCAGUAACCGUGGGACAGGCGAAGUCUGUGGGGAAAGGCCUCCAGGUGAAAGCGGCCUCAGUGCCUGUCAAGGGGUCCCUGGGGCAAGGGACUGCUCCAGUACUCCCUGGGAAGACGGGGCCUACAGUCACCCAGGUGAAAGCUGAGAUGCAGGAAGACUCUGAGAGCAGUGAGGAGGAAUCAGACAGUGAGGAGGCAGCUGCAUCUCCAGCACAGGUGAAAACCUCAGUAAAGAAAACCCAGGCCAAAGCCAACCCAGCUGCCGCCAGAGCAUCUUCAGCAAAAGGGACAAUUUCAGCCCCUGGAAAAGUUGUCACUGCAGCUGCUCAAGCCAAACAGAGGUCUCCAUCCAAGGUGAAGCCACCAGUGAGAAACCCCCAGAACAGUACCGUCUUGGCGAGGGGCCCAACAUGUGUGCCACCUGUGGGGAAGGCCGUGGCUACAGCAGUUCAGGCCCAGACAGGGCCAGAGGAGGACUCAGGGAGCAGUGAGGAGGAGUCAGACAGUGAGGAGGAGGCGGAGACGCCAGCUCAGGCGAAGCCUUCAGGGAAGACCCCCCAGAUCAGAGCUGCCUUGCCUCCUGCCAAGGAGUCCCCCAGGAAAGGGGCUGCCCCAACACCUCCUGGGAAGACAGGGCCUUCAGCUGCCCAGGCGGGGAAGCAGGAUGACUCAGGGAGCAGCAGCGAGGAGUCAGACAGUGAUGGGGAGGCACCAGCAGCUGUGACCUCUGCCCAGGUGAUUAAACCCCCUCUGAUUUUUGUCGACCCUAAUCGUAGUCCAGCUGGCCCAGCUGCUACACCCGCACAAGCCCAGGCUGCGAGCACCCCGAGGAAGGCCCGAGCCUCGGAGAGCACAGCCAGGAGCUCCUCCUCCGAGAGCGAGGAUGAGGACGUGAUCCCCGCUACACAGUGCUUGACUCCUGAUAGCAGAACCAAUGUGGUGACCAUGCCCACGGCCCACCCAAGAAUAGCCCCCAAAGCCAGCAUGGCUGGGGCCAGCAGCAGCAAGGAGUCUAGUCGGAUAUCAGAUGGCAAGAAACAGGAAGGACCAGCCACUCAGGUGUCAAAGAAGAACCCAGCUUCCCUCCCACUGACCCAGGCUGCCCUGAAGGUCCUCGCCCAGAAAGCCAGUGAAGCUCAGCCUCCUGUUGCCAAGACCCAGCCUUCAAGCGGGGUGAGCUUGGGGAGCCAGGGGAAGCAAGCCCGCGGAGCAUAGAAGGUGCAGGCGUGGCCCUGCAUCCCGGCACCAGCACUCACCUGCCCCAUGACCUCUGCACUUGGUUUGCCUCGCUGGGCCUCAGUGGCCUAAUCUGUUGACAGUGCUGUGGGAACACUCCCUGCAACAAGUCCCCAGAGCACCUCCGUCCAGGCCAAAGGGACCAACAAGCUCAGAAAACCUAAGCUUCCUGAGGUCCAGCAGGCCACCAAAGCCCCUGGGAGCUCAGAUGACAGUGAGGACAGCAGCGACAGCUCUUCAGGGAGUGAGGAAGAUGCUGAAGGGCCCCAGGGGGCCAAGUCGGCCCACACGCUGGGUGAGGGUGCCAGGGGAAAGGCAAGGGUGGGCCAGGAGGAGGGUGUUGUGUGGCCUGGUGGAGCCAUAGCUCUGGCCUCAGCUCCGUAUCUCAGACUCGUUCUGCACCUGUGGCUGAGCCUGGGCCUCAGUUUCCCCACCUGUACAACUUCAUGAGGAAGUCAAUCCAAAUGAUUUCAGAGACCUGACUUCGCUUUUUGACCACUCUCAGCUUUUUGGUAUCAGACUCCCUUCACUGGCUCCCGAAAACUCCAGGGCCAUGUUUCUGGAACAGUGGAAAGCAGGGAAAUAGAAAUGGGGCCUCAGGAAUUAGAAAUAAGGCUUUGGCAUUCAGAUGUCGCACCUAGCAUGCCGUGACUAGCAAUGAGUGUGCAAGGAGUGUUGAAGCAGUAGGAAGACUUGGGGUGAGGCGGGGCAGGGGAUGGGGGUGAGGGACCUGCAGAGAGACCAGGGCCUUCCUGAACGGCUCUGCCCUUCCCGGCUGGCAGGGGCCACCUGGGGCUACCAACAGGAUACUGUGCUUCUCCAGUAGGUCCCACCCCCUCCAGGACAGAGACCCUGGUGGAGGAGACUGCAGCAGAGUCCAGCGAGGAUGAUGUGGUGGCGCCAUCCCAGGUAACUGCAAGGGAGAGGACUGGCAGCCCACAGGCCUUAGGGUGGAGCCCCAGGCCAGGCUCCUGUCUACACAAUCCCUCAGGUCAGGGGUCUGGGUCCCCUCUCUUCACAGAGGCCUUGGGCAAGGUCCUGUCUGCGAGGCACCACAUGUGGCCCAGCCAGCAGACCACAGCUAGGCUGCCUCCCUCCCCUCAUAAAGCCCUGAGUAGCUGACCCUUGGGGUCUAUAGAAGGGAUUGACCUUGAUUCUGGGUGAUGUCCGGACAAAAACGUUCUUUAGCAGAUUUAUUUUAAGGUUACUAUCUGUAUGUGGCAAAAGCUAGUAAUUUUCCAUUUGUAUUAAUAAGAAAUUUCCUUUUUAAAUAUGCCUGUCUAGAAAGUGUAUUAAUUAAAAUAGUUCAGGAGGCACACGCCAAGGGCUGAAGUGCUGCUCUGUGCCUUGCUGUCCACGCACUCUGCACCGAUAGAGCAGGGUGAUCCUAGAGGCCCCAGGCUGCUUUCCUCACAGCAGGCCAUGACUCGGGCUGGGUUAUGGCAGUGGGGCGGGGUGGUGGCAGCCUCUUUCACAAUGGGCUUCUUCAGUCUCUCCUCUCAGGUUAUAUGACCCCUGGACUAACCCCAGCCAAUUCCCAGGCCUCAAAAGCCACUCCCAAGCUAGACUCCAGCCCCUCAGUUUCCUCUACUCUGGCCGCCAAAGAUGACCCAGAUGGCAAGCAGGAGGCAAAGCCCCAACAGGCAGCAGGCAUGUUGUCCCCUAAAACAGGUAAGUUAAGGUCUGCAGGAGGGACAUAGCAGGACACAGAGGGACAGGGCAGUGGGCCCCUUCUUGCCCUCCUGUAGCAACAGUCCUCCCAACAUGGUCCUGUCUGCCCCCAGAGCCUCUCCAAGUGAGACCUUGUGGCCUUGCAUUGGACCUGGAGAUGCUCAUCAAAAUGCAGGUGGGGCCAGGUACAGUGGCUCACGCCUAUAAUCCCAGCACUUCGGGAGGCCGAGGUGGGCAGAUUGCUCGAGCCCAGGAGUUCAAGACCAGCCUGGGCAACACAGAGAGACCCCAUCUCUAAAAUUUAUUUUAAUUAGCUGGUGUGAUGGUGCAUGUUUGUAGUCCCAAUUACCUGAGAGGCCAAGGCAGAAGAAUGACUUGAAGCCAGGAGGUUGAGGCUAUAGUGAGCCAUGAUCAUGCCAUUACACUCCAGUCUGGGUGGUACAGUGAGACCCUGUCUCAAAAAAAAAAGUACAGGUGGGCCCCAUGCCCAGAUGUCUGGCUCCCAUGGCCCUGGACAGCCUGGAAGUGGGGGUGUAUCCAGGCCUGGGUGGUGCUGAUGCACCUGGUAGGAUAGCCCUUGCCUCAGAGGAAGCUGCGUCUUUUGGCUUGUGGAGCAAGUGUUGGCUCUCUCCAACCAUCCCCAUCAACUUUUCUUCCCCGUAAACAGGCUUACGGUGUGGGGUGUGGGCCAUGGGCCUCAGAGGAUAGCUUAGACAAUAGGCUGACAGUCACGUCUGGAGGACACUCAGCACAUGCAGGAGACCCCAGGCAGUAGACUGGCCCCAGGCUGUUCUGACUUAUUGUAAAGCCUUGGAAAUCCCCUGGCCACUCUGGACCUCUGUGUCUUAACCAUACAAAACAGGAGUUGAUGUAUCCAGUCUGUGUCAAGGCAUGGCACAUGUAGAAAAUAGUCACAUUGUAUUUGGACGGCAGACUGGAUUAUUCAAGUCACCCAACCUGGGGCAUCCACUAUCCCUGACCCUACUGGAGCUAAGGGUCAAAUAUGUACCAGCUGGGCACACUUGGGACAGCUCCAGGGCUUCCCCAGCCUUGGUGUUCUGGGUGUUUGCAGAUAAGCAGCAGAAAACUGGGCCGGGCGCAGUGGCUCAUGCCUAUAAUCCCAGCACUUUGGGAGGCCAGGGCAAGCGGCUCACUUGAGGUCAGGAGUUCGAGACCAGCCUGGCCAACAUGGUGAAACCUUGUCUCUACUAAAAAUACAAAAAACUAGCCAGCAUGAUGGCAGGCGCCUGUACUCCCAGCAACUCAGGAGGCUGAGGCAGGAGAAUCGCUUGAACCUGGGAGGUAGAGGUUGCAGUGAGCCGAGAUUGCACCACCACACUCCAGUCUGGGCAACGGAGCAAAACUCUGUCUC
rnacentral:sRNA from 1 species